AAUGAACGCUGGCGGCGUGCUUUACACAUGCAAGUCGAGCGAGGCGUGUAGCAAUACACAGUCGAGCGGCGAACGGGUGAGUAACACGUGGAUUAUCUGCCCUGGAGGUGGGGAUAACCCGGGGAAACUCGGGCUAAUACCGCAUAUGACCGUGAGGUCAAAGGGGGGUCGCAAGACCUCUCGCCUUUGGAGGAGUCCGCGUCCGAUUAGCUAGUUGGUAGGGUAAUGGCCUACCAAGGCGACGAUCGGUAGCCGGCCUGAGAGGGUGAUCGGCCACACUGGAACUGAGACACGGUCCAGACUCCUACGGGAGCAGCAGUGGGGAAUUUGCGCAAUGGCUAACGCCUGACGCAGCAACGCCG
rnacentral:rRNA from 1 species